AACGCACGAGACCUGCGGACCUGCGGAAGGAUCAUUAGAAGAAGAAAGAUCGAACAACCCGACGAACGUGCGGGGGGGGCGAUCGAAUCCAUAUCCACCCCGUGUGCACUCAUCGACCGUUUGCUUUGGCAGGGGGGAAGGAGCCUUCGAUCCGGAGGCGCCGGGAGGACACACGUAUGAGUGUGUAGAGACAUCUAUGCACGCGUGUGGCCUCGGCCUGCCAGAGUUUUCUUUCCCGAA
rnacentral:misc_RNA from 1 species